GGGGAACUGAAACAUCUAAGUACCCCGAGGAAAAGAAAUCAACCGAGAUUCCCCCAGUAGCGGCGAGCGAACGGGGAGGAGCCCAGAGCCUGAAUCAGCAUGUGUGUUAGUGGAAGCGUCUGGAAAGGCGCGCGAUACAGGGUGACAGCCCCGUACACAAAAGCGCAUGUGCUGUGAGCUCGAUGAGUAGGGCGGGACACGUGGUAUCCUGUCUGAAUAUGGGGGGACCAUCCUCCAAGGCUAAAUACUCCUGACUGACCGAUAGUGAACCAGUACCGUGAGGGAAAGGCGAA
rnacentral:rRNA from 1 species